rnacentral:lncRNA from 1 species
CCCGCCUCCAAUAGUGCAUGUCCAUUUCUAUUCCUUCAUUUUCCUUGUUGCUGGCACUCAGGCAGAAUGGGGUGAUUUCUGUUUGCAAAAGGCCCAUCAACAGGAGAGAAGGGAUCAGAGAUGAAAUGCAGGCUACCCCUUUCAUCCAUAAUGUUCUCUACAGCACUGACCAUUUUAUCCCUCAGAAUCUCUUCUUCCAAGUCCUUUUUCUGAAAGUAGAUGUUUCCAAGACUAGAUUCGCCAUUUUUUUCAGUCAUGCAUCCAAAAAUGAUGACUAUCUACGUGCUAGGAAAUGAAGACACUUCACUGAACAAAAUACCCAUAGCUGUUUUCUUCCCGGAUCUACCAGUUGAACAGGAAAGAUGGAAAGUAAGCAAAAUAACACUUGCAUAUUUAUCAAUCAUUCCCUUUCUUGCCAGAAGCAA